rnacentral:rRNA from 1 species
AUUGAACGCUGGCGGCAGGCUUAACACAUGCAAGUCGAGCGGAGAUGAGGUGCUUGCACCUUAUCUUAGCGGCGGACGGGUGAGUAAUGCUUAGGAAUCUGCCUAUUAGUGGGGGACAACAUUCCGAAAGGAAUGCUAAUACCGCAUACGUCCUACGGGAGAAAGCAGGGGAUCUUCGGACCUUGCGCUAAUAGAUGAGCCUAAGUCGGAUUAGCUAGUUGGUGGGGUAAAGGCCUACCAAGGCGACGAUCUGUAGCGGGUCGGAGAGGAUGAUCCCCCACACUGGGACUGCGACACGGACCAGACUCCUACGGGAGGCAGCAGUGGGGAAUAUUGGACAAUGGGGGAAACCCUGAUCCAGCCAUGCCGCGUGUGUGAAGAAGGCCUUAUGGUUGUAAAGCACUUUAAGCGAGGAGGAGGCUACUGAGACUAAUACUCUUGGAUAGUGGACGUUACUCGCAGAAUAAGCACCGGCUAACUCUGUGCCAGCAGCCGCCGUAA